rnacentral:rRNA from 1 species
GAUGAACGCUGGCGGCGUGCCUAAUACAUGCAAGUCGAGCGAACGGACGAGAAGCUUGCUUCUCUGAUGUUAGCGGCGGACGGGUGAGUAACACGUGGAUAACCUACCUAUAAGACUGGGAUAACUUCGGGAAACCGUAGCUAAUACCGGAUAAUAUUUUGAACCGCAUGGUUCAAAAGUGAAAGACGGUCUUGCUGUCACUUAUAGAUGGAUCCGCGCUGCAUUAGCUAGUUGGUAAGGUAACGGCUUACCAAGGCAACGAUGCAUAGCCGACCUGAGAGGGUGAUCGGCCACACGGGAACUGAGACACGGUCCAGACUCCUACGGGAGGCAGCAGUAGGGAAUCUUCCGCAAUGGGCGAAAGCCUGACGGAGCAACGCCGCGUGAGUGAUGAAGGUCUUCGGAUCGUAAAACUCUGUUAUUAGGGAAGAACAUAUGUGUAAGUAACUGUGCACAUCUUGACGGUACCUAAUCAGAAAGCCACGGAUAACUACGUG